ACCUUCGUGGUGUAAUGGCAGAACACUCGGCUGGUAUUCGAGAGGUCCAGGUUCAAGUCUCGACGAAGGCA
rnacentral:tRNA from 1 species